UGAACGCUGGCGGCGUGCCUAACACAUGCAAGUCGAGCGAUUACUUCGGUAAAGAGCGGCGGACGGGUGAGUAACGCGUGGGUAACCUGCCUCAUACACAUGGAUAACAUACCGAAAGGUAUGCUAAUACAGGAUAAUAUAAGAGAUUCACAUGGAUUUCUUAUCAAAGCUCCGGCGGUAUGAGAUGGACCCGCGUCUGAUUAGCUAGUUGGUAAGGUAAUGGCUUACCAAGGCGACGAUCAGUAGCCGACCUGAGAGGGUGAUCGGCCACAUUGGAACUGAGACACGGUUCAAACUCCUACGGGAGGCAGCAGUGGGGAAUAUUGCACAAUGGGCGAAAGCCUGAUGCCAGCAACGCCGCGUGAGUGAUGAAGGCCUUCGGGUCGUAAAACUCUGUCCUCAAGGAAGAUAAUGACGGUACUUGAGGAGGAAGCCCCGGCUAACUACGUGCCAGCAGCCGC
rnacentral:rRNA from 1 species